rnacentral:rRNA from 1 species
AAGCCNUUUUGUUGGGAAAGAAAAGCAGCCGGUUAAUACCCGGUUGUUCUGACGGUACCCAAAGAAUAAGCACCGGCUAACUUCGUCCAGCAGCCGCGGUAAUACGAAGGGUGCAAGCGUUACUCGGAAUUACUGGGCGUAAAGCGUGCGUAGGUGGUUGUUUAAGUCUGUCGUGAAAGCCCUGGGCUCAACCUGGGAAUGGCGAUGGAAACUGGGCGACUAGAGUGUGGCAGAGGGUAGUGGAAUUCCUGGUGUAGCAGUGAAAUGCGUAGAGAUCAGGAGGAACAUCCGUGGCGAAGGCGACUGCCUGGGCCAACACUGACACUGAGGCACGAAAGCGUGGGGAGCAAACAGGAUUAGAUACCCUGGUAGUCCACGCCCUAAACGAUGCGAACUGGAUGUUGGGUGCAAUUUGGCACGCAGUAUCGAAGCUAACGCGUUAAGUUCGCCGCCUGGGGAGUACGGUCGCAAGACUGAAACUCAAAGGAAUUGACGGGGGCCCGCACAAGCGGUGGAGUAUGUGGUUUAAUUCGAUGCAACGCGAAGAACCUUACCUGGCCUUGACAUGCACGGAACUUUCCAGAGAUGGAUUGGUCNUU